GAUGAAGAACGUAGCGAAAUGCGAUAAGUAAUGUGAAUUGCAGAAUUCAGUGAAACAUCGAAUCUUUGAACGCAUCUUGCGCUCCUUGGUAUUCUGAGGAGCAUGCCUGUUUGAGUGUCAUUAAAUUCUCAACCGCACUGACUUUGAAUUGGUGUGGCUUGGAUUUGGGGGGAAAAUUGUUGUGGGCUUUUUUGUAUAGUCUGCUCCCCUGAAAUUGAUUAGCGGUACCUUUGUGGAACUGUCUACAGGUGUGAUAAUUAUCUACAUCCUAGACAUCUGCUGGAAUGCUGCUUUCUAAACCUUACUUGUAUUGACAAUCUUGACCUCAAAUCAGGUAGGACUACCCGCUGAACUUAAGCAUAUCAAUAAGCGGAGGA
rnacentral:misc_RNA from 1 species